rnacentral:rRNA from 1 species
GUGCCAGCCGCUGCGGUAAUACGGAGGGUGCAAGCGUUAUCCGGAUUCACUGGGUUUAAAGGGUGCGUAGGUGGACUAGUAAGUCAGUGGUGAAAUCUCCGGGCUUAACCCGGAAACUGCCGUUGAUACUAUUAGUCUUGAAUAUUGUGGAGGUUAGCGGAAUAUGUCAUGUAGCGGUGAAAUGCUUAGAUAUGACAUAGAACACCAAUUGCGAAGGCAGCUGGCUACACAUAUAUUGACACUGAGGCACGAAAGCGUGGGGAUCAAACAGGAUUAGAUACCCUGGUAGUCCACGCCCUAAACUAUGGAUACUCGACAUACGCGAAUACACUGUGUGUGUCUGAGCGAAAGC